GAUGAACGCUGGCGGCGUGCCUAAUACAUGCAAGUCGAGCGAACGGACGAGAAGCUUGCUUCUCUGAUGUUAGCGGCGGACGGGUGAGUAACACGUGGAUAACCUACCUAUAAGACUGGGAUAACUUCGGGAAACCGGAGCUAAUACCGGAUAAUAUUUUGAACCGCAUGGUUCAAAAGUGAAUGACGGUCUUGCUGUCACUUAUAGAUGGAUCCGCGCUGCAUUAGCUAGUUGGUAAGGUAACGGCUUACCAAGGCAACGAUGCAUAGCCGACCUGAGAGGGUGAUCGGCCACACUGGAACUGAGACACGGUCCAGACUCCUACGGGAGGCAGCAGUAGGGAAUCUUCCGCAAAGGGCGAAAGCCUGACGGAGCAGCGCCGCGUGAGUGAUGAAGGUCUUCGGAUCGUAAAACUCUGUUAUUAGGGAAGAACAUAUGUGCAAGUAACUGUGCACAUCUUGACGGUACCUAAUCAGAAAGCCACGGCUAACUACGUG
rnacentral:rRNA from 1 species